UGUUUGAUGUUCUAACGUUGACCCGUAAUCCGGGUUGCGGACAGUGUCUGGUGGGUAGUUUGACUGGGGCGGUCUCCUCCUAAAGAGUAACGGAGGAGCACGAAGGUUGGCUAAUCCUGGUCGGACAUCAGGAGGUUAGUGCAAUGGCAUAAGCCAGCUUGACUGCGAGCGUGACGGCGCGAGCAGGUGCGAAAGCAGGUCAUAGUGAUCCGGUGGUUCUGAAUGGAAGGGCCAUCGCUCAACGGAUAAAAGGUACUCCGGGGAUAACAGGCUGAUACCGCCCAAGAGUUCAUAUCGACGGCGGUGUUUGGCACCUCGAUGUCGGCUCAUCACAUCCUGGGGCUGAAGUAGGUCCCAAGGGUAUGGCUGUUCGCCAUUUAAAGUGGUACGCGAGCUGGGUUUAGAACGUCGUGAGACAGUUCGGUCCCUAUCUGCCGUGGGCGCUGGAGAACUGAGGGGGGCUGCUCCUAGUACGAGAGGACCGGAGUGGACGCAUCACUGGUGUUCGGGUUGUCAUGCCAAUGGCACUGCCCGGUAGCUAAAUGCGGAAGAGAUAAGUGCUGAAAGCAUCUAAGCACGAAACUUGCCCCGAGAUGAGUUCUCCCUGACUCCUUGAGAGUC
rnacentral:rRNA from 1 species